UGCCACCUGCGGGCGGAGAGCAGAGCCCAGGCGCUGCGGGCCCCGACCGCCUGCUCCCGCCGUGCGGCAGCCGGCGAGACCAAGUUUCUUGCGGAGCCUGGAGCAGCUGCUGGGAGCAUGCCUUUCGGGGCUAGGAAGAGAGGGCGAGCUGUGGAGAUCCACCAGGGAACGGAGUCGUUGGAAUGCAGCGCCGCGAGGAAAGAGAGGAGCUUUUAGGACGCUAAAUAGCAAGCGUCUGCCCUGCUCGUCUCUUCUCUGGAGAGGUUAAGGCUGAUGAAGCUGCAUCAAGCAGACAGCUUCCCGCGGCACAUGGGAUUUGGCCCUACCGAGAAAAUGGCUUUAGUGUAGGAUGGUUUAGUCGGGGGACCACAGUAAGGAAGCCUAGUGAUUGCUUUUUUAAAAUAAAUAUUAUGAUGUAUCAGAACGGCUAACGAGGAAGAUUGACUAGGAUACGGGGACUGUAUUCUGGAGUCUGCGGCUGAAUUUGCAAGAAUGGCUUGUCAACCCUAGAAAGCCAAAACAGGGUUCGACUUGUUAAAUUUAUGAAUACGGAUGUUUUAUUUGUGAGAGUUUCUCUUUUUAAAUCUUCGCAUUUGUAAAUGAGCUUUUCUUCUAGAAAGUGUGUUCAACGAUUAAUGAAAUUCCAAGAGACAGUACAUGCCAUGUGUUACCCGCUCGGGGUUUGACAGGUAAUAGGUACUCUACAACUGAGGGCGAAACGGAAGCCAGAGGAACCUAGUAGCAAGUAUUUCUCGUUGUUGUUACCAUUCCGUCUUUACACACAAGUUAAGUGUCUGGUCCCUCCUGGAUGGCAGAUACUUUGCAUUGCCAAACAAGAAAUAGAGCUGUACUGUAUGCUAACGCUGAAUGUUGAAAUAGAUGCCGCCGUACUGUCAGGCGCAUUCUAUUACAUUUUUAAAUUGACCAUAGCAACAAUGCAUUUGUGUGGAUCCACCCAUAAUCCCAAAGUGGUUUCCUUCCACAAGCAACCGCCUUGGUAAUGUUUCUCUGUGCAGGUGAAAGGAAAACAGAGCUCUCUGUAUCUCCAUGUCCCUCCCCAUCUGUGCCCAUGGGCUGAGUCCUUUCAGUACAUACCAUCUUUCUUUUUGUAAGUCUUUUGUAAGACUCGUACAUACCAUCUUUCUUUUUGUAAGUCUUUUGUAAGACUCGUUUUCUAGACCCAGGAGGUGUUUGUCUGGAAGGCAAAGUUGUAGUCCUGAGACAAAUCCAGUAGUGGAUGGGAAAUCGUGAAUAAAGACUCCAGCUGCUGCAGCGUACAGAUGGGACACCCAGGACCUGCAGUAUUCUGCACCGUGAGCAUUCCCAUGGCGAUGGAGCGCUAGGUAUCCAUAGUGGACAACUCAGGGACUGCAGUUGGGGCAGCCACUAAGCAAGUGCCAGUCUGUGCAGCAUUCAUUUCAGUAGCAUCGAAGCUCCAGCCUGGUUCUGGAGCUCCCCUCUGAGCUUCACCCCUCACAGCAAUGACAAUUAUCUUUACAGUCACGGGGCCAGUGUUUUUCCUGUGUGGAUAAUAAUAGCUGUUAGGAAAAUGAAAAUAAUUUUAAACAUUGAGAGUAAAUAAAAAGAAAAUAAUCACUUA